CCUGCGAUUCUUAUCAGACACUGGAGAUCCUACAAAAAGAAUACCGACCUUCUUGGCGAGCUUCUUGAGGAGCUCCCGCUCCUUUUUCUGCAUCAACAAGCACCAAAUGAAGAAGAAACGAACCCAGAAGUACAUGUUUUCCAGGGAGUGCUCGCGCUCCGACAUAUGAUCCUUGGUCAUGUCGAGAGCAUACGGCGAUGGAAGGUAGGCCAUCUUCCUCGCGAGUAGCAAGCGGCACCACAGCGGCGGGAGGGUGGUAGCAGCACAACGCAUCGCCAUCGCCAUUGGAAAAGAGCGGCGGCACAAGUAGCUGUGAGUUUCUUCUAGAUGGUUUCUAGAAAAGUAAACAGUGUUUUUCUAUAUCUAUCCAGUCGCUGUGGAAGAA